AUUGAACGCUGGCGGCAUGCCUUACACAUGCAAGUCGAACGGCAGCACGGGGGCAACCCUGGUGGCGAGUGGCGAACGGGUGAGUAAUACAUCGGAACGUGCCCCGUAGCGGGGGACAACCAGUCGAAAGACUGGCUAAUACCGCAUACGCUCCACGGAGGAAAGCAGGGGAUCGCAAGACCUUGCACUAUGGGAGCGGCCGAUGCCCGAUUAGCUAGUUGGUGAGGUAAAGGCUCACCAAGGCAACGAUCGGUAGCUGGUCUGAGAGGACGACCAGCCACACUGGGACUGAGACACGGCCCAGACUCCUACGGGAGGCAGCAGUGGGGAAUAUUGGACAAUGGGCGCAAGCCUGAUCCAGCGAUGCCGCGUGUGUGAAGAAGGCCUGCGGGUUGUAAAGCACUUUCAGUAGGGAAGAAAGACCGAGUGCUAAUAUCACUCGGUCUUGACGUUACUUACAGAAGAAGCACCGGCUAACUCCGUGCCA
rnacentral:rRNA from 1 species